CCUGGUAUAGGUAUACUCAUUCGCCAUCUUGUUCCAGUUGAUGUUAUUGUUAUUGUUAUCUUAUCUAUCUAUUGAGUUUUAUCAACAUUUCACUUCUGAAUUUAGGAGUUGAAAUUUCAAAUAAUUUUGUAAAUUGUACAUAAUACUGGUGAAGUGAUGUUUAUUAAAAUGAAGUACAUCUUUCGUUUAAUUAUCAUGCCAAUCCAUGUAAUGAAAGCUUCUAGAAAUGAUCCAGACAACAGUAAAUCAAAUAAAUUAACUGAAGAUGUUAUUAUUCAAAAAUCCAUUUCCAUGUCCCAUAGAGAUAACCCAGCAUGUCAGAAUUACGAAAAAGAAGCGAUGAAAAAUAUUGAUCGAUUGAAACGAGAAAAUGAAAUGCUGAAAGAAAGAAAUCAACGACUUGACAAUGUAUUGAAACUUUUAAUUGCUGAAGUUGAUCGCAAAUCGGAAUCGCAAACAUGAUUAUGGAUGGUUAAAGAAAGAUAAAAUGAUCCAAAAGCACUGUAUUUCUUACACAAACUGCAAUAUUGAAAAUGUUAGUCAAGAAUUUAAGAUCAGUUGUCCUAAUUUCCUUCAUAUCAUUCUUCAGUGUCAGUAAUGAGUAAAUUAAUACCCAAUGCGUUGAUCUUUUUUGGUAUUCAUUACUUUUUUGAGAUUGAUUCUCCAAACUUAUAACAUAGUUAUUCUCACAUAAUUUUACAUUUCUCAUUGCUUGGAGAAUUGGAGAUUGAUUAUUGAAAUUCUAAUUCUCUAUACUGUGAGAUUGAUUCUCUACUUUUAUUUUGAAUUUUGCGAAUCAUUAAUGUACCCUACUAACUACUUUCAUUGCUGUGAGAUAGAUACUCUACUGUUGUAUCAUACAUUCGAUUUUUCGAGUCAUUUUUUCAUGAAAUUCUAAUUCUGUAUACUGAGAGAUAAGAGAUUGAUUCUCUACUUUUAUUUUGAAUUUCUGUGAAUUAUUUGUGUACUUAUCUACUUUUAUUAUUGUGAGAUUGAUACUCUACACUACAAUAUUGUGUAUUCCUGUGAGUUGUGAGUCAUUCAUUUGUUUACUUUCGUAACUGUAUAAAAUUGUGAUAUUUUAUUUAUUAUUUUUUGCACUAGCUGAACACUUUCUCAUCACUCUAAAGUUUGAGUAUUAAAUCAUUUUAGUACGAGUAAGGCGUCUCGAAUCCAACAUUAGAACAACUUGUUAACAUGAGUUCAAACACAUUUGAAGAAAAUUCAUACUUUUGAAACAUCAUCUAUUCAAGACCUCGUACCUGGGAAGAAGGAAGGCUCACAGUGCUCAAAGUCCUUCAAUUUAAUUAUUUAAAUCAUUUUUCAAACAUCAUCUUCUUUUUUAUUUAUACUUUAUCUACCAGUUCACUUUUUCUGAAAUCUGAAAUGAAUGAUGUUUCAAAGUGAGAUUGGCUGUUAUUUAUUUUGGUAACGAACUACUUUUUCAACGUAGUAUGAUAAGGAUUUUGUGAUUAUUUUGUUAUUUUCAUUUCGUGUUGAAUUAAACAGUCAUCUGCGUCUA